UGUCUUCUCUUUUUUGUGUAC
rnacentral:piRNA from 1 species